GCGCUUGGCCACCUGAGAUAAACCGCCGCGUGUACAUACGCCGUGACCAAGAGAUCGUAUGCGCUCCCGACCGCUGCCCUUCGAAGGCAAAGGUCACGCGUUCGAAUCGUGUCGGCGCG
rnacentral:tRNA from 1 species